ensembl:snRNA U6 U6 spliceosomal RNA
GUGCUCGCUUUGGCAGCACAUAUACUAAAAGUAGAAUGACACAGAGAAGAUUAGCAUGGUCCCUGCACAAAGAUGACAGGCAAAUUCGUGCAGUGGUCCAUAUUCUU